AAUUCAUCAAAAUAUAGCGCUUAAUUUUCCUCCAUUUCAUUCCCAUCUUUACUUUCUCUCUCUACCUCUCCCACAGAAAACUCUAUUUCUCUCUCUAUACUUACAGAGAGGCCGCUGCAUGCUGAUGAUUCUAGAGGUACAUCAAUUCGAGGAGGUAAUUUAGUAAUAUCAAGUUUUUGCUGAGAGUAGUUCAAGGAUUGCUACAGAAGAAUUUCAAAGGAACUCUGACAAGUCCAUCACAGGUAGAGGGAGAAGAAGAAACUUUGCAUGAUUUGUCUGAUUCAAAUAACAAAGAUUAUUUUGAAUUGCUUAAAGAUGGAAGUGAAGAUUUGUAUGAAGAAUCCAAGUACUCAAAGUUGAAAUUUUUAUUAAAGCUUUAUCACAUAAAGUGCUUGUCUGGGUUAAGUGAUAAGGGAAUGACUAUGGUGCUAGAUUUACUCAGGGAUGCAUUUAAAUUUGCAAAGAUCCCUAUAUCUUUUUAUAAGGCUGAGAAAACCAUCAACUAGUUGUGUCUUGAUUAUAUCAAGAUAGAUGCUUACCCAAAUGAUUGCAUGUUGUACUGGGAAGAUGAUAUUAAUAUAGAAUCAUGUAAGCAUUAUCACACUUAUAGAUGUAAGCUUGAGAAGGAUAACGAUCUUGAUCAUGCUCCUAGUACAAGUAAGAAAUAAAAUAAGAAGAAAAAGAAGAAACAAAAGAAGCCUGCCAAAAUUUUGCGCUAUUUUUCAUUUAAACCAAGAUUACAAAGAUUGUUUAUGUACUCCAAAAUUGCAGAGCAUAUGAGAUGGCAUGCAGAGGAUGAUAACAAAGAUGAGAUCUUAAGGCACCCUCGAGAUGGUGAAUUAUGGAAAAGGUUUGAUACAAAAUAUCCUGAAUUUACUUCUGAUCCUCGAAAUGUUCGAUUAAGACUAGCUACUGAUGGUUUUAAUUCUUUUGGAACAAUGAGUACUAACUAUAGCAUUUGGCCGGUGAUUUUGUUUCCAUACAAUCUUCCUCCUUGGUUGUGUAUGAAGCAAUCAAAUUUUAUCUUCUCAAUGAUCAUUUUAGGUCCACGCACAGUAGGGAAUAACAUAGAUGUAUAUCUGCAACCACUUAUUAAGGAGUUGAAUUAGCUAUGGUGUGAAGGUGUGGAUACUUUUGAUUCAUUAAAGAAUGAAAUGUUUAAAAUGCGAGCAACUCUUAUACGGACAGUUAGCGAUUUUUCUGGACUUGAUAUCUUAUCGGAUUGGAACACACAUACUGGUCUUGUAUGUCCUUUUUAUAAUUUUAAUGCAGAACCUUGUCGACUUCGUCAUAGUAGAAAAUGGUGUUUUAUUGGCCACCUUCGAUUCUUGUCAAGAAAUCAUAAAUUUAGACUGAUGAGACAUCGUUUUGAUGGAAAUGUGGAAGAGAGGACCCCUCCAAAGAAGUUGUCUGGGUCAGAAAGUUUGCAGCAGGUGAAAGAUAUCAAUGUCACAUUUGGAAGACAAUCAGAGUUGCAGAAAAAAAAAAGGAAAAAUAAUGUUGGGGAAGAUGCAACUCAACAAUGAAAGAAUAAAAGCAUAUUCUUUGAUCUUCCAUAUUGGGAGUUUUACCCGUUGCCCCAUAAUUUAGAUCCGAUGCAUAUGGAAAAGAAUGUUUUUGACAAUGUUAUAUUCACUUUGUUAAAUGAUAAAGAAAAGUCAAAGGAUCAUGUUAAGGCUCGAAAAGAUCUACAAGAUAUGGACAUAAGGAAUGAUCUUUAGGUCGAUGAGAAUGAUGAGUUUAAACUUGCUGCAUUUGUAAUUCCAAAGAACAAGAAAGUGGCCUUCCUCAAGACUUUAAAGAAUAUCUCAGUACCGGAUGGUUAUUCAAGUAAUAUAUCUCGUCGUAUUGAUUUGGAUCAAAAAAGAAUUUUUGGAUCAAAAAGCAAUGAUUGUCACAUUCUUAUGCAGCAGUUGUUACCCAUAGCAAUUCGCAAUGUGCUUCCAAGACAGGUUGUUGCAACUUUGGUCGAGUUUUCUUCCCUUUUUAGGCAACUUUGUUUGAAAAGUUUAAGUCUUGUAGACUUAGACAAGCUACAAAAUCGAAUUGUGGAAACUCUUUGUCAUUUAGAGAUUUUGUUUCCUCCAUCAUUUUUUACUGUAAUGAUUCAUCUAACUGUUCAUCUAGUUGAUGAGGUAAAAAAAGGUGGCCCGGUACAUUAUCGCUGGAUGUAUUUUGUUGAAAGGUAAAAUAUUCCUUAUUCAAAAUCAUUUUAGUUGAUUUUAUAGUAAUACUUCUAAGUUAAAACUUCUUCUUACAUAUUAAUGUUUUGGGUAUAGAUUGUUAGGACAUUUCAAGUCCCUUGUAGGUAACAAAGCACAACCAGAAGGUUCCAUAGCUGAAAGUUACAUAGUUGAAGAAGCUCUUACUCUUUAUUCUCGUUAUUUUAUGGAAAUUGAGUCAAUGUUAAAUCGACCUAAACGUGUAAAUGAUGAACCAAGUCAAAAUGAGGCUUAUGAAAAGUCAAGUAUGUUCCCUCAACAAGGUAAGCAUGUUGGAGGCUUCAUAGCAGAACCACUGACUCAUUUGAAGAAAACACAAGCUCAUCGAUAUGUGUUACUUAAUUGUGUGGCCGUGAAGCCAUUUAUUGAGUAAGAAAUUUACAUUGAUUUGAUUUAUAAGAUAUGUUUUGAGUAGUUUUAUUAAAUUUCUAACUAUGGUGCCUUUAUACUGAAUUUAGAGAUUACAUCAAAAGAAGUACAAGAGGCCGUAGACUUUUUGCAACAAAGGUAGAGAGAAGAGUUAGCAAAGAGUUCCAUGAUUGGUUUUCUAAGAGAGUGAGUGAAUGACAUUAAAAUAUUUAUUUUUGUAUAGAUUUUUAUAUCAAUUUAAAGUUUCUAAAAUAAAUGCUUUGUACAUUUAGAUUAUAAAUUCGGAUAUUGAAGAUACUAUCUCUGAUGAGAUGAAAUUCUUAGCACAAGGUCCAACCCGAGAUGCAAGAAGAUUCAGUGCUUAUAACAUUAGUGGAUUCAAAUUUUGAACUUUAUCUAGAUAAUAAGGAUUAAAAACUCAGAAUAGUGGAGUUUUUCUUGUCUCUAACACCUCUUGUGUUGCAUCUAGUGUAGAUAGACAUGCAACAAAAGCAGACCUGCCAUAUUAUGAAAAGUUGGAAGACAUUGUUGAGCUUAAUUAUUAUGGCAAGUGUAGGAUUGUUCUUUUCAAAUGUCAGUGGGUUGACACUACUCGGAACAGAGGGUUCAAAAUAGAUGCUUGAAAGUUUAAUUGUGUCAACUUUUCCAAAUUAAUUCAUACCGAUAAUCGUGCGGAUGAUGAUCCGUAUAUUGAAGCAUCACAAGAUAAUAUGGUCUCCUAUGUUGAUGAUGAAAAUGAUAAAGAAUGGAGUGUGGCUGUACAUCUAAAAUCAAGAGAUUUGUUUGACAUAGGAGAAAUUGAUAAAGAGGAAAUAUACGAGAAUGAGCCAUACCAACAACAAGAAUUUGGAAAAUUUUUGUAUGUUGAUUAUGAGAAUGUCCAAAUUGCAAUAGCGGAGCAUAUGACUUAAUAGAUAUAUCAUUAUUUUUUGCAGCUAGUGUUGUAAUGGUAGUCAUAUCCUUGUCUGUAGGGUAAAGAAGAUUUGGACAUGUGUUUGUCAUUUUAGUUAAGUGUCUCCGUAGUUUGAACAUAUCCUAUUUCAUAUGAUGUUAUUGCUUGCUGUUGUACUACCUUCUUAAUACUUAAAGUGCAUGUGUGCCAUUGCCUGUAAUCCUAUAGUACAUUUUGGAUUUACUGAAGAUAUAAUUCUUCGUGGGGCAUAUUGUUGUUAUAUAUGAACACCACACAUACUUAAUAUGAAAUCUUGUUCUUUGUAUUGUCAGCUUUGUCACUCAAUUGUUUGUUGAGUGUUUACAUUUAAUUGUUUUACUAACUCUUAUUGGAAU